rnacentral:rRNA from 1 species
UGGGGAAUAUUGCACAAUGGGGGAAACCCUGAUGCAGCCAUGCCGCGUGUGUGAAGAAGGCCUUCGGGUUGUAAAGCACUUUUGCAUUCGAGGAAGACAGCGUAUAAAUAAAUGCGCUAUUUGACGUUAGAGUGUGAAUAGGCACCGGCAAACUCCGUGCCAGCAGCCGCGGUAAUACGGAGGGUGCGAGCGUUAAUCGGAAUGACUGGGCGUAAAGGGCACGCAGGUGGCGAGAUAAGUUGGAUGUGAAAUUCCCGUGCUUAACAUGGGGACUGCAUCCAAAACUGUUGAACUGGAGUACUGUAGAGGGAGGUAGAAUUCCACGUGUAGCGGUGAAAUGCGUAGAGA